AAAUAGAUACCCGGGUAGUCCAUGCCGUAAACGUUGGGCGCUAGAUGUGGGGGACCAUUCCACGGUUUCCGUGUCGCAGCUAACGCAUUAAGCGCCCCGCCUGGGGAGUACGGCCGCAAGGCUAAAAACUCAAAGGAAUUGACGGGGGCCCGCACAAGCGGCGGAGCAUGCGGAUUAAUUCGAUGCAACGCGAAGAACCUUACCAAGGCUUGACAUAUACGAGAACGCUGCAGAAAUGUAGAACUCUUUGGACACUCGUAUACAGGUGGUGCAUGGUUGUCGUCAGCUCGUGUCGUGAGAUGUUGGGUUAAGUCCCGCAACGAGCGCAACCCUCGUUCUAUGUUGCCAGCGGUUCGGCCGGGAACUCAUAGGAGACUGCCGGGGUCAACUCGGAGGAAGGUGGGGAUGACGUCAAAUCAUCAUGCCCCUUAUGUCUUGGGCUUCACGCAUGCUACAAUGGCCGGUACAAAGGGCUGCAAUACCGUAAGGUGGAGCGAAUCCCAAAAAGCCGGUCUCAGUUCGGAUUGAGGUCUGC
rnacentral:rRNA from 1 species